rnacentral:rRNA from 1 species
UACGUAGGGGGCAAGCGUUGUCCGGAUUCAUUGGGCGUAAAGAGCGUGUAGGCGGCCAGGUAGGUCGGUUGUGAAAACUGGAGGCUCAACCUUCAGACGUCGACCGAAACCAUCUGGCUAGAGUCCGGGAGAGGAGAGUGGAAUUCCUGGUGUAGCGGUGAAAUGCGCAGAUAUCAGGAGGAACACCGGUGGCGAAGGCGGUUCUCUGGGCAUUACCUGACGCUGAGGAGCGAAAGUGUGGGGAGCGAACAGG